rnacentral:tRNA from 1 species
GCGAAAGUGGCGGAAUAGGUAGACGCGCUGGAUUUAGGUUCCAGUAGGGAAACCUGUGGGAGUUCGAGUCUCCCCUUUCGCACCA